CUAAAGCUCAACCGGAUAAAGCGCGCGUGUUUCUAAUUUUCAGUUCUGAAAUACCUCAAUGAGCAAGUGUAAAUUUAUUUUAAGAAAUUCUGAGCUAGAGAACUUUUUUUUAUUAACUUAAAUUAUAGGCAGCGCUCAGUCUAAAAAAUACACAAAACAAGAAGAAACCUCGUCUCUCACACAAACAGACUUGCUAUCACACUUUCCGGACCCAUGAACAUACGAAGACUAAAAAGAUUGCACCCCACAAAAAAUUGGGUAAAAGUGAAUUGAGUAUCACAAUACACAGACAAAGUGCAAUCCGAAGCCAGGCAGUUGAACGGUCGCUGGCUCUGCCUCUUGCUAUUGACAAUUGUGAUUAUUUCUGUUGCUACAAGAUGGUGCAGUUGCUGUCGCCACUGCCAUGUGCGAAAUGCAAAUGAAAUAGUGGUUAACGAAGCUACAUAGCUGCUACUUUGACUUGUAAUACUUUACUUUUACUUUUUAUGAUUAACAUUUCCCACCCAAAGUUGAGAAACUUAACAUGCUCUUGGCCCGUUGUUCACUUAUCCACAUUCGUACUUUUUGCGCAGACUCUGCGCAAUGAAAUGAGAAAUCCCGGAGAUCGUAAACUGCGAAGUUGGCGCACUCCCCAAGAUGCUCAGCGCUAAAAUGAUUUUGUUGUCUUCUGAGCCAUCAUCUUUUAAUCACCCGCGUUAGUCAUCGAGCCCAACCGUCCCCACACGGCCCCUCCGCUUGUCACCGACCUGGGUGUUGCAAUUGAAAGUGAAACUCUUCUUAACUUUAGCUCCGAGUCAAAGGUUGGUGGGCCUGACAGAGUCCACUGCCCCGCUCCGCUUGGUCUCUUUGGAGGCCCACGCACGAGCUGGAGUGUGAAAUGUUGUCAUCGUGCGGAUGAGUGCGCAACUCGAGUGCGGAAUACUUGAGUCACGGAGAGCUGAACGAAUUUCAUUUGGGGUAGGUCGGGCAGCAGCGAAGGAAAAACUGGUUCUAUGUCUGAAAAGUCUGCCACUGAAGUCUCUCCUACCACCAGCUCGACAGGGGUUUCCCUGAAAUUUCUCAAGAGUCUUGCCAACGACCAAGGGCUUUAAGCCCACUUUCUUGAAGGCCUGGUGGCUUGGGCCAAACAUUGUGAUCGACGGCACUUGUUCAAACACGAAGGAUCAGAUCAGAUAUAAUACUCAUUGAUGAACCACAGUUGGCGAAUAGCACCGAUACGAAGCGUGUUACGCAUCUGCUUUUUUCUGCGUAAUAAACUCACUUUAAUUUUUUGGUUUUCUCAAAGACGGUGGCGACUUCAAAGUGCGACAGAUCGCAGCGCGAACACAAAUACAACUGACGGC